UAAUACGGAGGGUGCAAACGUUGCUCGGAAUUAUUGGGCGUAAAGCGCACGUAGGCGGUCCAGCAAGUCGGGUGUGAAAGCCCUCGGCUUAACCGGGGAAGUGCAUUCGAAACUGCUGGACUUGAAUACUGGAGAGGAUCGCGGAAUUCCCGGUGUAGAGGUGAAAUUCGUAGAUAUCGGGAGGAACACC
rnacentral:rRNA from 1 species